UAGAAAGAGGACAUGGUAACCAUAUUGAC
rnacentral:piRNA from 1 species